AGAACGAACGCUGGCGGCAUGCCUAAUACAUGCAAGUCGAACGAACACUUCGGUGUUAGUGGCGCACGGGUGCGUAACGCGUGGGAAUCUGCCCUUGGGUUCGGAAUAACAGUUGGAAACGACUGCUAAUACCGGAUGAUAUCGAAAGAUCAAAGAUUUAUCGCCCAGGGAUGAGCCCGCGUAGGAUUAGCUAGUUGGUGAGGUAAAGGCUCACCAAGGCGACGAUCCUUAGCUGGUCUGAGAGGAUGAUCAGCCACACUGGGACUGAGACACGGCCCAGACUCCUACGGGAGGCAGCAGUAGGGAAUAUGGACAAUGGGCGCAAGCCUGAUCCAAGCAAUGCCGCGCGAGUGAUGAAGCCUUAGGGUUGUAAAGCUCUUUUACCCGAGAUGAUAAUGACAGUAUCGGAGAAUAAACGCCCCGGACUAACUCCGUGCCAGCAGCCGCGGU
rnacentral:rRNA from 1 species